UACGAAGGGGGCUAGCGUUGCUCGGAAUUACUGGGCGUAAAGCGCACGUAGGCGGACUACUAAGUCAGGGGUGAAAUCCCGGGGCUCAACCCCGGAACUGCCUUUGAUACUGAUAGUCUCGAGUCCGGAAGAGGUGAGUGGAAUUCCGAGUGUAGAGGUGAAAUUCGUAGAUAUUCGGAGGAACACCAGUGGCGAAGGCGGCUCACUGGUCCGGUACUGACGCUGAGGUG
rnacentral:rRNA from 1 species